rnacentral:rRNA from 1 species
UACGUAGGGGGCCAGCGUUGCUCGGAAUUACUGGGCGUAAAGGGUCCGUAGGCGGUGUGGCAAGUCGGGGAGUGAAAUCUCUGGGCUUAACCCAGAGGCUGCUUCCGAAACUGCCAUGCUAGAGUGUGAGAGAGGCGAGUGGAAUUACGGGUGUAGCGGUGAAAUGCGUAGAUAUCCGUAGGAACAUCCGAGGCGAAGGCGGCUCGCUGGAUCACAACUGACGCUGAGGGACGAAAGCUAGGGGAGCAAACAGG